CUUCAGUCUCAGCAGGAGCCAGAAAAUUGGGAUCAGAAAGCCAGUAUGGAAAAUUUUGACAGCUGUCAGGAAGGAGGUUAUUGAAUUCAUUGGAGAAUGAGUGCUGUCCUAAAUUUGGGAAAUGCUACAAGAUGUCUGUCUCGUAAAGUGAUGGUGCGAGGCCUCGAAGUCGAAGUGGAAGAGAAGCACGCUAGCCAGCACGGAAGAAGCAUCAGUGGGAAAGUCAAUGGCACAGUGACAAGC